GGAGCUUGCUCCGCUGACGAGUGGCGAACGGGUGAGUAAUAUAUCGGAACGUACCAUUCAGUGGGGGAUAACGUAGCGAAAGUUACGCUAAUACCGCAUAUUCUGUGAGCAGGAAAGCAGGGGAUCGCAAGACCUUGCGCUGAUUGAGCGGCCGAUAUCAGAUUAGCUUGUUGGUGAGGUAAAAGCUCACCAAGGCGACGAUCUGUAGCGGGUCUGAGAGGAUGAUCCGCCACACUGGAACUGAGACACGGUCCAGACUCCUACGGGAGGCAGCAGUGGGGAAUUUUGGACAAUGGGGGCAACCCUGAUCCAGCCAUGCCGCGUGAGUGAAGAAGGCCUUCGGGUUGUAAAGCUCUUUCAGCCGGGAAGAAAACGCAUGGGUUAAUACCCUGUGUGGAUGACGGUACCGGAAUAAGAAGCACCGGCUAACUACGUGCCAGCAGCCGCGGUAAUACGUAGGGUGCGAGCGUUAAUCGGAAUUACUGGGCGUAAAGCGUGCGCAGGCGGUUUUGUAAGACAGGCGUGAAAUCCCCGGGCUUAACCUGGGAACUGCGUUUGUGACUGCAAGGCUAGAGUACGGCAGAGGGGGGUGGAAUUCCACGUGUAGCAGUGAAAUGCGUAGAGAUGUGGAGGAACACCAAUGGCGAAGGCAGCCCCCUGGGUCGAUACUGACGCUCAUGCACGAAAGCGUGGGUAGCAAACAGGAUUAGAUACCCUGGUAGUCCACGCCCUAAACGAUGUCAACUAGGUGUUGGGAGGGUAAAACCUUUUAGUACCGGAGCUAACGCGUGAAGUUGACCGCCUGGGGAGUACGGCCGCAAGUUAAAACUCAAAGGAAUUGACGGGGACCCGCACAAGCGGUGGAUGAUGUGGAUUAAUUCGAUGCAACGCGAAAAACCUUACCUACCCUUGACAUGCCAAGAACUUUCCAGAGAUGGAUUGGUGCCCGAAAGGGAACUUGGACACAGGUGCUGCAUGGCUGUCGUCAGCUCGUGUCGUGAGAUGUUGGGUUAAGUCCCGCAACGAGCGCAACCCUUGUCGUUAAUUGCCAUCAUUUAGUUGGGCACUUUAACGAGACUGCCGGUGACAAACCGGAGGAAGGUGGGGAUGACGUCAAGUCCUCAUGGCCCUUAUGGGUAGGGCUUCACACGUCAUACAAUGGUCGGUACAAAGGGUCGCCAAGCCGCGAGGUGGAGCCAAUCCCAGAAAGCCGAUCGUAGUCCGGAUCGCAGUCUGCAACUCGACUGCGUGAAGUCGGAAUCGCUAGUAAUCGUGGAUCAGAAUGUCACGGUGAAUACGUUCCCGGGUCUUGUACACACCGCCCGUCACACCAUGGGAGCGGGUUCCGCCAGAAGUAGGUAGCCUAACCGCAAGGAGGGCGCUUACCACGGCGGGGUUCGUGACUGGGGUGAAGUCGAAACAAGGUA
rnacentral:rRNA from 1 species